CGGAGGGUCCAAGCGUUAUCCGGAAUCAUUGGGUUUAAAGGGUCCGUAGGCGGUUUAGUAAGUCAGUGGUGAAAGCCCAUCGCUCAACGGUGGAACGGCCAUUGAUACUGCUAAACUUGAAUUAUUGGGAAGUAACUAGAAUAUGUAGUGUAGCGGUGAAAUGCUUAGAGAUUACAUGGAAUACCAAUUGCGAAGGCAGGUUACUACCAAUAUAUUGACGCUGAUGGACGAAAGCGUGGGGAGCGAACAGGAUUAGAUACCCUGGUAGUCCACGCCGUAAACGAUGGAUACUAGCUGUUCGGAGCAAUCUGAGUGGCUAAGCGAAAGUGAUAAGUAUCCCACCUGGGGAGUACGUUCGCAAGAAUG
rnacentral:rRNA from 1 species